rnacentral:rRNA from 1 species
GACGAACGCUGGCGGCGUGCUUAACACAUGCAAGUCGAGCGAGAGCCAGUCGAGGGGUAACCCUCGGCUGGGGACAGCGGCGAACGGGUGCGUAACACGUGGGCAACCUGCCCCUGACACUGGGAUAACCCCCGGGGAAACCGGAGCUAAUACCGGAUACUCUCGGCCGAUCACAUGGCUGGCCGAGGAAAGGUCCGCCGGUCAGGGAUGGGCCCGCGGCCUAUCAGCUUGUUGGUGGGGNGAUGGCCUACCAAGGCGACGACGGGUAGCCGGCCUGAGAGGGCGACCGGCCACACUGGGACUGAGACACGGCCCAGACUCCUACGGGAGGCAGCAGGUGGGGAAUCUUGCGCAAUGGGACGAAAGCCUGACGCAGCGACGCCGCGUGA